rnacentral:rRNA from 1 species
UACAGAGGGUGCGAGCGUUGUCCGGAAUCACUGGGCGUAAAGGGCGCGUAGGUGGCUUGCCAAGCGUGUGGUGAAAGCCCGGAGCUCAACUCCGGGUCUGCCAUGCGAACUGGCAGGCUUGAGCACGGUAGAGGCCAAUGGAAUUCCGGGUGUAGCGGUGGAAUGCGUAGAGAUCCGGAAGAACACCGGUGGCGAAGGCGGUUGGCUGGGCCGUAGCUGACACUGAGGCGCGACAGCGUGGGGAGCAAGCAGG